UUGUUUCUCAUAAUUAUCUUUAUUUUAGAGAUGUGUUUAACAUCACAUUUAUGUUUGUACACCCUGUUUAGUAAUUUACAUUUUUACAGUUUAUAAUUCAUACUUACACAAUUUGAAUAUCAUUCAGAAAUUUCAACAUUUCUUUUUUUCUUUCUUUCAAAAAUACAACAAGUUUUUUAUAACAGCAUAUGAAUGCACAGAAAUUUAAUUGUGCUGAUAAAGCUUGUGUACUGUAAGUGAUGAUUUAUUAUUUUAUACAACAACUCUGAAUUUAAUACAAAAAUUAAAUAUUAACAUUCCAACAUGCUCCACAUCUUAAAUGUAUCAAUCAUGUAUGAGUAUUACACACUUCCAUCUGAUAUUUGUACUUGUAUCAUUUCUUACAUACAGUCGACAGAGAAAUACAAGAUUUAAGAAUGAAUGAGAGUAGGGCAGAUGAAAACACGCAAAUGGGUGACACUUAAGAUGCAGCUUAAACUCUGCACCAGUCAAAAGAGUUGAGUUAGAUACAUUUAUAUAAAAAAUAAGCCAUUUUGAGAAUUGGAUUUUGGUGGAUUCCUCAAAUGAGUACAUUUCUUGAAUCCUAACUACACAAUUCUGAUACAAUUAUUUCAGUUUUAAGUGCAGAACAUGCAAUGCUGUGUCACGUUUCUUUUCUGAGAUAUAACAUUGAUUGAAUAUCCAUCUACCAUAAUUCUAAAAGCAUAAUUUUGUUCCGCACAAUGUAAUUCCAUACUUGCACACAUUUCAAUAUACAGAUUCCCACUGGCGAGUUUCAAGGAUGUUCUGGCAAUAUACAGUUUUUAUUUAUUUACAUUCUUUUAAUAUAUCAUAAUGGAAGUUUAUAACAAAAAAUAUAUUACUCUCAUCUGAAUACGCUGGCUAUUCCACACAGAAGGAAACAACAAAAUAAAUUAUUCACCAACAACAAGCAUCAAAGUAUGUCACAUUUAGCAACUUGAAGGUACAUAAUGAAGUCAGCAGACAUAUUUUAAUGGGUGCAUUGCCUGGUCUAGUAUCAAAACAGCACCUCUUUGGAUGAAUGUUGAGAACAAUGAUAUGGAGAACUACUAGUCAUUAACACUAAUAAAAUAAUGGCACCUUUCCAGCAUUGAUGAGUAGUGUCCCUUUUAACAUUCACAAACAUUCUAGAGGUCUAAAAAAAAAUUGCUUAAAAUUAUCAUGAAAUUAAGUUUCAAAGUACAGUAUAAAGGAAUAGAUAGCUGUACCAGUAUAUAACGCCUUAUAUUAAAAAUCUGUUUUUGGGAAAACGCAAAAUUAAAAACACAAGAAGGCUGAAGAACGAUGCUUUAACUGUUCAUAUGCAGAAGUAUCAUUUGGUUACAAAGGAUGGUAGUUAAUAAUGCAGAUACGUCCAGAGUUACUCAUCUUGAGAACAGUGUGAAGGUGCUAAGAAAAUAAAAUUAUGCAGGACCACUUCCAUAACCAGACAGUUAUCAUUGUCGCCUUCAGUGUGGAAGGACCUGGGUUCAAUUCCUCAUACCUCCUUAGACCUCUUCCGAGAUGAGAAUGUCUGGAAUGAUAUCCACUCAGCCUUGUGAGACCAAAUGAGGAGCUAUUUGAAUAAAGAACCAGCAGCACCAUCAGGAUUCAUCUAAUGGCAAUAACAGGUGGGGGGAUUUGUGACAUGCUGAUCACAUGUCCCACAGUCUAAGACUGCUUCUCAUACUAGCUUGCAGGCAACAGUCAGCCAGAUGGAACUGCCUAAGGCCUAAUCCAUGAGGGGUGUACUUUUAAAUCAUGUACACUGAGCACAUAAAUGCAUAUCGUGUGCGUGUGUGUGUGUGUGUGUGUGUGUGUGUGUGUGAAGUGGGGGAAAGUAGGGGAAGAGGGAGAGGCUCGUAGCAGCAAGCAACAGUUUCAGUAAGUAACUUGGCAAGCAAUAGGCAACUGUGACUGUGACAUUAAUAAAAAACAAUAUUAUGAGAAGGAAAAUUGCUACCCACCAUAUAGUGGAGAUGCUGAGUCACAGAUAGGCACAACAAAAAGACUCUUAAUGUUUAUAGCUUUCGGCCGUUAAGGCCUUUGACAACAACAGACAGACAUAUGCACGUAUACACGUAUUCAUGCAGACGCAAUUCACACACAUGACUGCAGUCUGAGGCAACUGAAACCAUAGUGGUUUCAGUUGCCUGAGACUGCAGUCGUGUGUGUGUGAGUUGCAUUUGCUUGAGAGAGAGAGAGAGAGAGAGAGAGAGAGAGAGAGAGUGAGCAUGUGUGCGCACUCCCAUGUAUGUCUGUCUGCUGUUGACGAAGACCUUAACAGCCAAAAGCUAUACUUGUGAGAGAAUCUUUUUGUUGUGCCUAUCUGCGACUCAGCAUCUCUGCUAUAUGGCAAGUAGCAACUUUUCUUCUCAUAAUAUGGUUACUUUCCAUCCUGGAUUUUCAUUGAUUGAUAAAUAAAAGAAAAAUAUACACAAAAACUAAUUUAUUACUAAAAGCUACAUUCAGUAUGAUUUCUUUUCGAUAUAAUCCACUCAACGACUGAGUCAUCUGUCAUAACUGUGGACAAGAUUUCCAAUACCCUCUUCAUAAAAUGUUACACCAAUUAACUGUGAAUGGAGAUAAGACCCAUCAUUUGUUCCCUGCAAGCAGAAGAGAAUAGUGCACCAAAAAUUCAUCGAAGAACAAGUAGAGAGCCAGUCUAACCAGAUGAAGAGGUAUAUUGACUUCUGGAAUUGUUCUGAUCCAUAACAACACCCGUCGUCAGUGCUAGUGCAACCCGAUGGCUCAUUGUGCAAUUUCAGUGGGAUGGUUUUGAUCACCCGCCAUACAGUCCUGACAAUGCACCAAGUGAGUUUCAUCUUUUCCCAGAACAGAAUAAUUACUAGGAGGGCUGUGCUUCCAAACUAAUGAUGAAGAUUAAGGUAAUAUCAACACUCAUUCAAUUUAUCGGCAGCAACAUUUUAUGAAGAGUGUAUUGGAAAGCUUGUCCACAGGUAUGACAAAUGCUUCGAUCAUUACAGUGGUUAUGCCGAAAAGUACCCAUAAGUAUACAUACUUUUAGCAAUAAAAUACAUUUUAUAUACACUUGUUUUUUUAAGACCGAUUAGAGGUUAAAAAAUGACACUCAUAAAUACACCCUAAAAACAAAAUGUCUUUGUUUGGCAUAAUGGUAAUUACCUUGUAAAUUUCAAACUCUGAAAACACCUCUAUUUUUACAAUGUAGCAUUUUGUUCUUGAAGUAACAGUUAUGUACAGGAAACAAGACUUUACCUCAACCUCACCACCCUUCACUGUCCUGAAAACCUUAUUCCACUGAAAGGAUUAAUUCACAGCUUCCUAAUGUUAAUCAUUUAAGUCUUCUUACCAAAAACAAAAUCUUAUCCCACACUCAAUAUGUCCCUUAUGUUGUCCCAUCUUACAGUAUGACUGAAAAUCAAUGAAAAGUUGUAAUACUGUGCAGUGUCAUUCAUACAGCAUUUAAAUGUACAUAAUUGCAAAUUGUGUACUUAGUAGAAGUUGGAUUGCCAACAGCAUCUGGAUAGCUUCCAUACACAGAUCAGUACCAGAUUAAGAAUUUAUGAUAAAAAAUUUCAUGAGUUUGUCAUUUUUUUGCACUCAAGUCACACUGAACUUACAAAAUGAAGCUCAAAGGUCGAAGUAUAGGAAUGAGAUUUCUUGUAUCACUUUUCUUAUAACAAUCUUGUACAUUGGUUGUCUCAGGGACCACAGACAACUAAAGGAGAAAUCUAACAUCCUUUUAUGCAGUAUAUAUUUAAUUUCUGCACUCUUAUGUAUGGUGUCAGGAGUCCUUUAUCUUUAAUAUGAAGGAUGUAUUCACAGACAACAAAGAAGAAUUCAGGCUCAAGAAACAUUACUCUAAAAUCAGUUUUAGCAAUGACAAGAAAAGAGAAUGUGCCAUGUAGAGAAAGAACACUAACUGGAGUUUAAAAGAAAUGAUAAAGGAACAAAUGGUGCACCCCUUUACAGAGAAUGCUCAAGAAAAGUUGCCUCAAUAAGUGUUAAAUUACCAACCAUAAAAAAAAAAAUGAAAUGCUGAAGGAACAGUAGUAGUAGUAGUAGUAGUAG